AUGCAGCCCGCCGGCCGCGAAAUGCACGGCGGCGGGCAGGGGCAGGACGACUUCUUCGAGCAGAUGCUGUCCGCGCUGCCGACGGCCUGGGCCGAGCUCGGCUCCGUCAGGCCCCCCUGGGAGCUCCAGGCGGCCGGCGCGCCCCCGCACGACGGCGACCCCGGGUUCGACGAGUCCGCCCUCCUCGCCUCCCGCCUCCGCCACAACCAGAUCAGCGGCGGCGGAGGGGACGACAAGCCGCCGCCGGCCAUGCUUCCCCGCCACGGCCUCGACGGCGGGGGGUUCCUGCCGCUGCCUCUGUUCACUGACCGGUCGCGGGAGGACCUGCAGGGGGCUAACCAGGCGCUGUUCGACGGGUUCGGGGCCGCCGGAAUGCACGCCGCCGGCGCCGCGCAGCCGCCGUUCGGGCAGGUGAGCCAAGAACCACCGCCGCGUCCAGCUUUGGCUUUGUUCCGUGUUUCAUCAGUCGCACUAACAGAACUCUGCCUUCUUUCCCCCCGUGCAUCGAAGGCCGGCUCAAUGCCGCCGCCAGCGGCGCAGGGCGGGGCGGCGGCGCCGCCGCGGCAGCGGCAGCGGGCGAGGAGGGGGCAGGCCACCGACCCCCACAGCAUCGCCGAGCGUCUCAGAAGGGAGAGGAUAGCGGAGAGGAUGAAGGCGUUGCAGGAGCUGGUCCCGAACGCCAACAAGACCGACAAGGCAUCGAUGCUCGACGAGAUCAUUGAUUAUGUCAAGUUCCUCCAGCUUCAAGUCAAGGUUCUCAGCAUGAGCCGAUUAGGCGGAGCUGCUGCAGUUGGCCCUCUGGUUGCUGGCUUGUCAUCAGAGAGCAGCGGAAAUGGAAACGGGACCAGCAGCAGCGGCGACGGCAAUGGCGACGAUGACAAUGGUGGCAGCACCUUGCGGGCGACAGAGCAACAGGUGGCGAGGCUGAUGGAGGAGGACAUGGGCACUGCCAUGCAGUACCUGCAGGGCAAGGGGCUCUGCCUGAUGCCGAUCUCCCUUGCCUCGGUCAUCUCCUCCGCAACCUCAUCGUCGCUCCGCUCCGCCACCCGCCCUGCUGGUAAUGCCGGAGGACCCCUGCACGAAGGCGGUAGCCCUGCGUCGCCUCAGUUGGUGAACAGCAUGGGCACCGAUGGCUCCCGGACCAUCGGGGACGGCAGUGGACAGUGA
rnacentral:rRNA from 1 species